UUAGUUUUCUUGCGACGAAAGAAGAGCCCCAACCGACCUUCAAAACCCCCACGCGGGCCCCUCACGCGGGUGGGGCUUAGGUCGUGCCGGGAGACCGUGUGGAACCCCCGGGCACCGCCUUACGACGGUCCCUUCGUCCAAAAAUCUGAUAUUUUCCAUAAAAAUCUCACAAAAAAAUUCAGCCCGUUUCGACUCCGUGAAUUUUUGGCAUAUAUUUUCAAAACAAUAAAAAAUAGGAACUGACCCUCAUCAUUGGAUUAAUAUAUUAGUCCAGUAUUAUGCCAAAAACAUAAAUAAAUGAUGUAAAUAUAGCACUGAUACUUUAAAAAUUAUGGAUACAUUGGUGAUGUAUCAAACUCUCGACACGAAGCACAACAAGAGAAGCCGCUCAUGACGGCGUGCUGGUGGCCGCGGGAGCAUCAGGACGGUGCGACAACACUGUGUUGUUGGGUUUGGGAUGGUGAAAACUAACCCGAUAAGGGCUCGCGGUAUAGUGAGAGUAUUUGGAAUGAAGACAGGCAACAAAUUAAAGUAUUAACAUGCUUCAUAAACAACAACACUGACGGGCGGGAAAACCGAAAGGUCAGAAUUAAAGGAUCAACAAAUAUGGGUCAAAUAUAGCAGCUUAUCAGUGGAAACUGUUGGUCUGUUUCAGCCGUCGGUAUUUAUUUUGAGCUAUCGCUCAAAAAAAAAACCGUCGGUAUAUGAAUUUGAACAUUUUGAGAACAAGACCUUUGAAACUGCAGUACCCAGUGAUCCAUUACAUCCAACUAUGGGCCUUAUAUGCAACUAAAAAAACUAUGGGCCUUAUGAUCAGCUGCUUGUCUGCCACACCUCAACUGCAGUACCCAGAGAUCCAUCAAUAAGCCCAUUGAAUUGUUACAGUAGCCAGCCCAUUUGUGUCAUCACGCAGGCCGAAUGGCAGAGUUGCCGGUGGAUCCCUUCUUCCAUCCUUGUCUAAAAGAAAAAAACAUUCUUCCAUCCCCACGGCCGGCCGCCCCCUCGCCGCCGGCUGCUGCCAGCGCAGUCCGGCGUCUCGCAGCGGUGGUCACCAGACUCCGGCCCCAUCAUCGCCUCCCUCCUCUGCUCGCCCGCCCCCACUCCACGCCUUCCCUUGCCGCCUGCCGCCUGCCGCCUGCCGCCCGCUCGACUCCCUCCUCUCCUCGCCGCGCCCGCCCACGCCCGCACCCCUCCUCUGUCCUCUCCCUCCCUGAAUGCCACCGCCUCCCGCCCUCCUCCGUGCCAAGCAAGCCUCUUUCGCGCCCCCCACUCUUCCCCCGCCCAGGCAGCCGGACUCUCUCCUGGCCUCCUCCCUCGCCUCCCUCGCCGCGUUCAACUCCCCCCUUGGCCGCGCUCGCCCGCGUCUGUCCGUGACCUCCCUGGCAUGACCCAGCUCUUUUCCUCCAUGCGGGACGACACCGUCCGGCCCGGCGUUGUCACGCCCGCAUACUCGUCAUGGGGCUCUGCCAAGCCGGCCGCGCUCAGGGCGCUCGACGGAAUGCCCGGCCCAAACUCGGGCGUUCGCCCGGCUCGGAUGUCGUCAUUCAUGCCGAACACGGUCGUGGAUGGGGUGUGCGAGAGCGGGAGGAUCCAGGCGGCCGUUGCGUUCAUGGAGGACUGCUGCUUGGCUGACGUUGCGGCCGACGGAUCCUGCCGUGCGGGGAAUGUGACUGCUGCUUGGCUUUCCAGGCGGCGGAGAGGAUGGAGAAGGAGAGCUUUCCUCCACAAUAGAAAUGUGGUUUUGUUCCAUGAGAUGCAGUCAUGCAUUUUACCAUGAUCUUGGGAUUCUUUAGCAGGAGGAAUAGGUCACAACUUACAAGAGGCUUGGUGUACUGUACACCGUGUACACCUACAAUAAUACUUUGCUGUCUGGUUAAGUAGGAGAUUUCUCAACUGUGUAUGAGUUAUUGGGGAAGAUGAUGGAUGAUGGUUGCCUGCAAGUACACGGAUAUUGACCAAGUGGUCUAUGGAUGAAUCUGCAAAUGCAGGGAGUAGCAUAUGAUGGAUGUAAUUUUCUGUUGCAUCAAAAAGCAAGUUAACUCGGCGUAUGCAGUAGCAACUACCAACCAUUCAUACUGGAGCAAAGGUCCAAGUAUAGAUUGGACAAGAAGGGUGAUGCCCUUUUUUUCUGCCAACGCUGGAAGUGAGGUCCAUAACAAAGAUGCAAGAAGUCUAUCUAAAGCAAUUGCAUCUACAGGUCCAUCACACCAAACCGUUGGAAAGAUUCUAUAAAGUUCAAAUUUACCAUGCAUGUUCAGUGAACAGGUGCAGAAUUGGACAAACAUAAAUAUAGCUAGUGAAUGGUACACGUCUUAAAAGGAAAGGAGACCUCAUCAUCCUCAUCGGCGAGGAUCUUGGAGCAGUUGAAGCAGACGCAGCGCAUGAUGGAGAGCACGGUCUUGAUGAAGCCGAUGUGGAACAUGGGCUUUGCGAGCUCGAGGUGGCCGAAGUGGCCCGGGCAUUCGGCCAUCCCGGCCAUGCAUGUCUCGCACUUGGUCCUCCGGUCAAUGGUGCCCAGACGAGGGUCGCUCAGACCACCGGGCUUGGGCUUCCCCUUCUCCAUGGUCUCUGCAUGCUCUAUCACCGCCACCGACAUUUGCCUCUGCAAGCAAGCAGUUCAACACAGAAUCUGUCAAAUUCGAUUCAUCCUAAAAUUUGUGAUACCUACACAGUACUGACCACCUGCCAUCAUUACAACGGUCAAUGUUCAUUCAAACCCAGCCAAUAAAUUGUUAAACCCUGCCAAAUCCGUCUUAUUACAUGUACUCUGCAAGUAACAACCAGACCUGUGUAGCUUUUAUUCAAACUUGUAUUGAGCAUGGCCCAAUAAAGAGCUAGCAUACUGUAAUAAAAUCAUGUGUAGUGCUGGUACUACACAAAACCGUGCAAACUGCCAAGCUCAGAGUUACCAAAUAACUGACAGCAGUUAAUAAGAACAUUUAUUAGCAUUU